ensembl:lncRNA
AAAUUCCUAGUCCAGACUUCAGCAAAACCUGUGCCAAGGUUUCAUGUCUCUCUUCAACUACCACUGAGGAGCUGAAUUAACAGACAAGACAGAUAGUGACAACUCGAGCAAGGGGUCACCUUCUCCGGCCACUUUCAGGGAAGGUCAGAGUCUAACAGUGAGCUGCUGAGCUCCCCCUGGGCACUUAGCCCUUCACCAAUAUCAUUAAACAUCGACCUCUCAGCUGUUGCCUUCGCAUUUUACAAAUAAGAAAACCCAAGCUCAGAGAGGUGCAGAAAGUGACCCAAGGUCCUAUAACAAAAACUAAAAAGAAUGAAUAAAAAAAGAAAAACACCAAACUCACAGAAAUCAAACCAGUGGCUACCAGUGGGAAGAGAAGUGGAGAGAGAACCGAUGUAGGGGAAGAGGAUUAAAAGAUACAUUUUGAAAAGGGAAGGGAUCAAGGGAAAAUGCAAAAAGAAAUUUUUUUAGGUCCCAUCUCUCACAUAUAGAAAAACAGACAAAAGUUGGAGAACUGCAGACCUCUGAACAACGAGCCUUAGGGUAUAAUCGAACUCUGCUGGAGAGCCUCUAGCCUACUAAAGAUUCUUCUGGCUGCUCAAUCUAUGGUGUUUGGAUUUAUUUUGGAUUUAUUUGUUCUUAGAUUUUUCAACCUAUAUUAGCAUGUAAUGCACAAGUUGCCAAGGAUGUUAUCAACAAUAAAAUUUGCAGAAUAAUCCAUGCCUUAAAAUGAAAGUAG